rnacentral:rRNA from 1 species
GAGCGGCAGACGGGAGAGUAACACGUGGGAACGUGCCCUUCAGUUCGGAACAACCCAGGGAAACUUGGGCUAAUACCGGAUACGUCCGUAAGGGGAAAGAUUUAUCGCUGAAGGAUCGGCCCGCGUCUGAUUAGCUAGUUGGUGAGGUAAAGGCUCACCAAGGCGACGAUCCGUAGCUGGUCUGAGAGGACGACCAGCCACACCGGAACUGAGACACGGUCCGGACUCCUACGGGAGGCAGCAGUGGGGAAUAUUGGACAAUGGGGGCAACCCUGAUCCAGCGACGCCGCGUGGGUGAAGAAGGCCUGCGGGUUGUAAAGCCCUUUCGGUGGGGAAGA